CUGCACUGUUUCAACAAGUAUGCGAGCUGGAGCAGAAGAUCGAACCUCGUCAGCCACCGAUCUCCUCCUUUUACCCAACUGAAACCCGACCCGGGGCUCAGUGUCAUCAAAAGGUAUUUGUGCAGCUGCCCACUCGUCUCCCGGAGUGAAGACGGCGUGGUUCUCCGGUUCUCCUACUCGGAGUUGGACCAGGCAACCAGGAAAUUCUCCGACGAACAGCUCAUCGGCAUCGGUGGAACGAGCCAGGUGUACCGUGGCCAGCUCACCGACGGCAAAGUCGUCGCCGUGAAGAAGCUUCGGCCCCUCGGAGGCGCAGAAGAAGACUAUGAGUUCCUGCCAGAGAUCGAGCUGCUGUCGAGGCUGAACCACUGCCACGUGGUGCCAUUGCUGGGGUACUGCUCGGAGCGGCAGGGGCGGCAGCUGGAG
rnacentral:rRNA from 1 species